rnacentral:rRNA from 3 species
UAGCUAAUCCUGGUCGGACAUCAGGAGGUUAGUGCAAUGGCAUAAGCUAGCUUGACUGCGAGCGUGACGGCGCGAGCAGGUGCGAAAGCAGGUCAUAGUGAUCCGGUGGUUCUGAAUGGAAGGGCCAUCGCUCAACGGAUAAAAGGUACUCCGGGGAUAACAGGCUGAUACCGCCCAAGAGUUCAUAUCGACGGCGGUGUUUGGCACCUCGAUGUCGGCUCAUCACAUCCUGGGGCUGAAGUAGGUCCCAAGGGUAUGGCUGUUCGCCAUUUAAAGUGGUACGCGAGCUGGGUUUAGAACGUCGUGAGACAGUUCGGUCCCUAUCUGCCGUGGGCGCUGGAGAAUUGAGGGGGGCUGCUCCUAGUACGAGAGGACCGGAGUGGACGCAUCACUGGUGUUCGGGUUGUCAUGCCAAUGGCACUGCCCGGUAGCUAAAUGCGGAAGAGAUAAGUGCUGAAAGCAUCUAAGCACGAAACUUGCCCCGAGAUGAGUUCUCCCUGAGACUU